UUAUUAUUAUUAUGUCACCCGAUCGACAAUGUCGGGUGACAUAUUGCUUUUCCUCUGUUUCUUUUUCCGUAUUAUUAUUAUUAUUUUUCUUCCACCUAAUUUUGUCCGGCAGUUUUUUUGGAGCCAAAGGAACCAAUCUGAAUGAUGGUGCACUAUAACAAGGAACCCUGACUUUCCAGUUGCAGUGCAACUUUGGAACUAAAAAAUGGCUGCCAUCACCAUGGAAACGGAAAAAUGGUGAAAAAAUAUAUUUUUGGAGUUUAGGUGAAUUGUUUGAGAAUGCUUAAGCUUAAAAUCUUAAUAUUUUAAUACAAUGUAGGUGCCCACUAUAUACUGCUUUAGGAUGAUUUUGGCAAUCAUUGGAACUGCUAUGUUGCCAUGGAUACUACACCAAAAAUUUCAAAAAUAUGAAAAUGCUCCAAAUUUUUUGAAACUUCUAGCAUAACGAUGAGCAACUUUGGUAGAUGUGGAAUUUGGCGUUGGAAUUUCCAAAAUGUCUGCCGUUUCCAUGGAAACAAUGCAAAAAGGUCAAAAUGCUCCAAAAACUUCCGGGUUUGGUGAAUAACUUUGAUAUGCUUGAACUUAAAAUCAUCAAAUUUUAAUGCAAUAUAGUUGUCCACUAUAUCCAGGUUUUGAAUGAUUUUGACAAUCAUUGGAACUACUCUGUUACCAUGGAUACAGGAUCAAAUAUUUCAAAAAUUUCAAAAUGCUCCAAAAUUGAUGAAACUUAAUAUGAUUG
rnacentral:lncRNA from 1 species